CGGGGGGAGCAAGCGUUGUUCGGAUUUACUGGGCGUAAAGGGCGCGUAGGCGGCCACCGCAAGUCAAUUGUGAAAUCUCCGGGCUUAACUCGGAAAGGUCAACUGAUACUGCGGGGCUAGAGUGCAGAAGGGGCAACUGGAAUUCUCGGUGUAGCGGUGAAAUGCGUAGAUAUCGAGAGGAACACCUGCGGCGAAGGCGGGUUGCUGGGCUGACACUGACGCUGAGGCGCGAAAGCUAGGGGAGCGAACGGGAUUAGAUACCCCGGUAGUCCUAGCCUUAAACGAUGAAUGCUUGGUGUCUGGGGUUAUAAAGUCCCCGGGUGCCGUCGCUAACGCUUUAAGCAUUUCGCCUGGGGAGUACGGUCGCAAGACUG
rnacentral:rRNA from 1 species